rnacentral:rRNA from 1 species
GGGUCGUAAAGUUCUGUUGUUAGGGAAGAACAAGUACCAGAGUAACUGCUGGUACCUUGACGGUACCUAACCAGAAAGCCACGGCUAACUACGUGCCAGCAGCCGCGGUAAUACGUAGGUGGCAAGCGUUGUCCGGAAUUAUUGGGCGUAAAGCGCGCGCAGGUGGUUCCUUUAAGUCUGAUGUGAAAGCCCACGGCUCAACCGUGGAGGGUCAUUGGAAACUGGGGAACUUGAGUGCAGAAGAGGAAAGUGGAAUUCCAAGUGUAGCGGUGAAAUGCGUAGAGAUUUGGAGGAACACCAGUGGCGAAGGCGACUUUCUGGUCUGUAACUGACACUGAGGCGCGAAAGCGUGGGGAGCAAACAGGAUUAGAUACCCUGGUAGUCCACGCCGUAAACGAUGAGUGCUAAGUGUUAGAGGGUUUCCGCCCUUUAGUGCUGCAGCUAACGCAUUAAGCACUCCGCCUGGGGAGUACGGCCGCAAGGCUGAAACUCAAAGGAAUUGACGGGGGCCCGCACAAGCGGUGGAGCAUUGUGGUUUAAUUCGAAGCAACGCGAAGAACCUUACCAGGUUCUUGACAUCCUCUGACAACCCUAGAGAUAGGGCGUUCCCCUUCGGGGGACAGAGUGACAGGUGGUGCAUGGUUGUUCGUCAGCUCGUGUCGUGAGAUGUUGGUUAAGUCCCGCAACGAGCGCAACCCUUUGAUCUUAGUUGCCAGCAUUCAGUUGGGCACUCUAAGGUGACUGCCGGUGACAAACCGGAGGAGGGGGAUGACUCAAAUCAUCAUGCCCCUUAUGACCUGGGCUACACACGUGCUACAAUGGAUGGUACAAAGGGCUGCAAACCUGCGAAGGUAAGCGAAUCCCAUAAAGCCAUU